rnacentral:rRNA from 1 species
AAAUUGAAGAGUUUGAUCAUGGCUCAGAUUGAACGCUGGCGGCAGGCCUAACACAUGCAAGUCGAGCGGUAGCACAGAGAGCUUGCUCUCGGGUGACGAGCGGCGGACGGGUGAGUAAUGUCUGGGAAACUGCCUGAUGGAGGGGGGAUAACUACUGGAAACGGUAGCUAAUACCGCAUAACGUCGCAAGACCAAAGUGGGGGACCUUCGGGCCUCAUGCCAUCAGAUGUGCCCAGAUGGGAUUAGCUAGUAGGUGGGGUAACGGCUCACCUAGGCGACGAUCCCUAGCUGGUCUGAGAGGAUGACCAGCCACACUGGAACUGAGACACGGUCCAGACUCCUACGGGAGGCAGCAGUGGGGAAUAUUGCACAAUGGGCGCAAGCCUGAUGCAGCCAUGCCGCGUGUGUGAAGAAGGCCUUCGGGUUGUAAAGCACUUUCAGCGGGGAGGAAGGCGUUAAGGUUAAUAACCUUGGCGAUUGACGUUACCCGCAGAAGAAGCACCGGCUAACUCCGUGCCAGCAGCCGCGGUAAUACGGAGGGUGCAAGCGUUAAUCGGAAUUACUGGGCGUAAAGCGCACGCAGGCGGUCUGUCAAGUCGGAUGUGAAAUCCCCGGGCUCAACCUGGGAACUGCAUUCGAAACUGGCAGGCUAGAGUCUUGUAGAGGGGGGUAGAAUUCCAGGUGUAGCGGUGAAAUGCGUAGAGAUCUGGAGGAAUACCGGUGGCGAAGGCGGCCCCCUGGACAAAGACUGACGCUCAGGUGCGAAAGCGUGGGGAGCAAACAGGAUUAGAUACCCUGGUAGUCCACGCCGUAAACGAUGUCGAUUUGGAGGUUGUGCCCUUGAGGCGUGGCUUCCGGAGCUAACGCGUUAAAUCGACCGCCUGGGGAGUACGGCCGCAAGGUUAAAACUCAAAUGAAUUGACGGGGGCCCGCACAAGCGGUGGAGCAUGUGGUUUAAUUCGAUGCAACGCGAAGAACCUUACCUGGUCUUGACAUCCACAGAACUUUCCAGAGAUGGAUUGGUGCCUUCGGGAACUGUGAGACAGGUGCUGCAUGGCUGUCGUCAGCUCGUGUUGUGAAAUGUUGGGUUAAGUCCCGCAACGAGCGCAACCCUUAUCCUUUGUUGCCAGCGGUUCGGCCGGGAACUCAAAGGAGACUGCCAGUGAUAAACUGGAGGAAGGUGGGGAUGACGUCAAGUCAUCAUGGCCCUUACGACCAGGGCUACACACGUGCUACAAUGGCAUAUACAAAGAGAAGCGACCUCGCGAGAGCAAGCGGACCUCAUAAAGUAUGUCGUAGUCCGGAUUGGAGUCUGCAACUCGACUCCAUGAAGUCGGAAUCGCUAGUAAUCGUAGAUCAGAAUGCUACGGUGAAUACGUUCCCGGGCCUUGUACACACCGCCCGUCACACCAUGGGAGUGGGUUGCAAAAGAAGUAGGUAGCUUAACCUUCGGGAGGGCGCUUACCACUUUGUGAUUCAUGACUGGGGUGAAGUCGUAACAAGGUAACCGUAGGGGAACCUGCGGUUGGAUCACCUCCUUACCUUAAAGAA